rnacentral:rRNA from 1 species
GGGUUGUGAGGUUAAGCGACUAAGCGUACACGGUGGAUGCCCUGGCAGUCAGAGGCGAUGAAGGACGUGCUAAUCUGCGAUAAGCGUCGGUAAGGUGAUAUGAACCGUUAUAACCGGCGAUUUCCGAAUGGGGAAACCCAGUGUGAUUCGUCACACUAUCAUUAACUGAAUCCAUAGGUUAAUGAGGCGAACCGGGGGAACUGAAACAUCUAAGUACCCCGAGGAAAAGAAAUCAACCGAGAUUCCCCCAGUAGCGGCGAGCGAACGGGGAGGAGCCCAGAGCCUGAAUCAGUGUGUGUGUUAGUGGAAGCGUCUGGAAAGGCGCGCGAUACAGGGUGACAGCCCCGUACACAAAAAUGCACAUACUGUGAGCUCGAUGAGUAGGGCGGGACACGUGGUAUCCUGUCUGAAUAUGGGGGGACCAUCCUCCAAGGCUAAAUACUCCUGACUGACCGAUAGUGAACCAGUACCGUGAGGGAAAGGCGAAAAGAACCCCGGCGAGGGGAGUGAAAAAGAACCUGAAACCGUGUACGUACAAGCAGUGGGAGCCUCUUAAUGGGGUGACUGCGUACCUUUUGUAUAAUGGGUCAGCGACUUAUAUUCUGUAGCAAGGUUAACCGAAUAGGGGAGCCGAAGGGAAACCGAGUCUUAACUGGGCGUUAAGUUGCAGGGUAUAGACCCGAAACCCGGUGAUCUAGCCAUGGGCAGGUUGAAGGUUGGGUAACACUAACUGGAGGACCGAACCGACUAAUGUUGAAAAAUUAGCGGAUGACUUGUGGCUGGGGGUGAAAGGCCAAUCAAACCGGGAGAUAGCUGGUUCUCCCCGAAAGCUAUUUAGGUAGCGCCUCGUGAAUUCAUCUCCGGGGGUAGAGCACUGUUUCGGCAAGGGGGUCAUCCCGACUUACCAACCCGAUGCAAACUGCGAAUACCGGAGAAUGUUAUCACGGGAGACACACGGCGGGUGCUAACGUCCGUCGUGAAGAGGGAAACAACCCAGACCGCCAGCUAAGGUCCCAAAGUCAUGGUUAAGUGGGAAACGAUGUGGGAAGGCCCAGACAGCCAGGAUGUUGGCUUAGAAGCAGCCAUCAUUUAAAGAAAGCGUAAUAGCUCACUGGUCGAGUCGGCCUGCGCGGAAGAUGUAACGGGGCUAAACCAUGCACCGAAGCUGCGGCAGCGACACUAUGUGUUGUUGGGUAGGGGAGCGUUCUGUAAGCCUGUGAAGGUGUACUGUGAGGUAUGCUGGAGGUAUCAGAAGUGCGAAUGCUGACAUAAGUAACGAUAAAGCGGGUGAAAAGCCCGCUCGCCGGAAGACCAAGGGUUCCUGUCCAACGUUAAUCGGGGCAGGGUGAGUCGACCCCUAAGGCGAGGCCGAAAGGCGUAGUCGAUGGGAAACAGGUUAAUAUUCCUGUACUUGGUGUUACUGCGAAGGGGGGACGGAGAAGGCUAUGUUGGCCGGGCGACGGUUGUCCCGGUUUAAGCGUGUAGGCUGGUUUUCCAGGCAAAUCCGGAAAAUCAAGGCUGAGGCGUGAUGACGAGGCACUACGGUGCUGAAGCAACAAAUGCCCUGCUUCCAGGAAAAGCCUCUAAGCAUCAGGUAACAUCAAAUCGUACCCCAAACCGACACAGGUGGUCAGGUAGAGAAUACCAAGGCGCUUGAGAGAACUCGGGUGAAGGAACUAGGCAAAAUGGUGCCGUAACUUCGGGAGAAGGCACGCUGAUAUGUAGGUGAAGUCCCUCGCGGAUGGAGCUGAAAUCAGUCGAAGAUACCAGCUGGCUGCAACUGUUUAUUAAAAACACAGCACUGUGCAAACACGAAAGUGGACGUAUACGGUGUGACGCCUGCCCGGUGCCGGAAGGUUAAUUGAUGGGGUUAGCGGUAACGCGAAGCUCUUGAUCGAAGCCCCGGUAAACGGCGGCCGUAACUAUAACGGUCCUAAGGUAGCGAAAUUCCUUGUCGGGUAAGUUCCGACCUGCACGAAUGGCGUAAUGAUGGCCAGGCUGUCUCCACCCGAGACUCAGUGAAAUUGAACUCGCUGUGAAGAUGCAGUGUACCCGCGGCAAGACGGAAAGACCCCGUGAACCUUUACUAUAGCUUGACACUGAACAUUGAGCCUUGAUGUGUAGGAUAGGUGGGAGGCUUUGAAGUGUGGACGCCAGUCUGCAUGGAGCCGGCCUUGAAAUACCACCCUUUAAUGUUUGAUGUUCUAACGUUGGCCCCUGAUCGGGGUUGCGGACAGUGUCUGGUGGGUAGUUUGACUGGGGCGGUCUCCUCCUAAAGAGUAACGGAGGAGCACGAAGGUUGGCUAAUCCUGGUCGGACAUCAGGAGGUUAGUGCAAUGGCAUAAGCCAGCUUGACUGCGAGCGUGACGGCGCGAGCAGGUGCGAAAGCAGGUCAUAGUGAUCCGGUGGUUCUGAAUGGAAGGGCCAUCGCUCAACGGAUAAAAGGUACUCCGGGGAUAACAGGCUGAUACCGCCCAAGAGUUCAUAUCGACGGCGGUGUUUGGCACCUCGAUGUCGGCUCAUCACAUCCUGGGGCUGAAGUAGGUCCCAAGGGUAUGGCUGUUCGCCAUUUAAAGUGGUACGCGAGCUGGGUUUAGAACGUCGUGAGACAGUUCGGUCCCUAUCUGCCGUGGGCGCUGGAGAACUGAGGGGGGCUGCUCCUAGUACGAGAGGACCGGAGUGGACGCAUCACUGGUGUUCGGGUUGUCAUGCCAAUGGCACUGCCCGGUAGCUAAAUGCGGAAGAGAUAAGUGCUGAAAGCAUCUAAGCACGAAACUUGCCCCGAGAUGAGUUCUCCCUGACUCCUUGAGAGUCCUGAAGGAACGUUGAAGACGACGACGUUGAUAGGCCGGGUGUGUAAGCGCAGCGAUGCGUUGAGCUAACCGGUACUAAUGAACCGUGAGGCUUAACCUUACAACGCCGAAGGUGUUU